GAUGAACGCUAGCUACAGGCUUAACACAUGCAAGUCGAGGGGUAACGAGAGGAAAGCUUGCUUUCCUUGUCGACGACCGGCGCACGGGUGAGUAACGCGUAUCCAACCUGCCCCCAACUAGGGAAUAACCUUGCGAAAGUAAGACUAAUACCCUAUAAUUUCCUCAGAUGACAUCUGACGAGGAAUAAAGAUUUAUCGGUUGUGGAUGGGGAUGCGUCUGAUUAGCUUGUUGGCGGGGUAACGGCCCACCAAGGCAACGAUCAGUAGGGGUUCUGAGAGGAAGGGCCCCCACAUUGGGACUGAGACACGGUCCAAACUCCUACGGGAGGCAGCAGUGAGGAAGAUUGGUCAAUGGGCGGAAGCCUGAACCAGCCAAGUAGCGUGCAGGAUGACGGCCCUAUGGGUUGUAAACUGCUUUUAUACAGGAAUAAAGUUAGCCACGUGUGGUUAUUUGUAGGUACUGUAUGAAUAAGGACCGGCUAAUUCCGUGCCAGCCGCCGCGGUAA
rnacentral:rRNA from 1 species